rnacentral:rRNA from 1 species
GGAUGCGAAUCUCGAAAGCCUGUCUCAGUUCGGAUUGGAGGCUGAAACCCGCCUCCAUGAAGUUGGAUUCGCUAGUAAUCGCGCAUCAGCCAUGGCGCGGUGAAUACGUUCCCGGGCCUUGUACACACCGCCCGUCAAGCCAUGGGAGCCGGGGGUGCCUGAAGUUCGUGACCGCAAGGAGCGACCUAGGGCAAAACUGGUGACUGGGGCUAAGUCGUAACAAGGUAGC